rnacentral:rRNA from 1 species
CUUUUGUGGGGUGCUCGAGUGGCGAACGGGUGAGUAACACGUGAGUAACCUGCCCUUGACUUUGGGAUAACUUCAGGAAACUGGGGCUAAUACCGGAUAGGAGCUCCUGCUGCAUGGUGGGGGUUGGAAAGUUUCGGCGGUUGGGGAUGGACUCGCGGCUUAUCAGCUUGUUGGUGGGGUAGCGGCUUACCAAGGCUUUGACGGGUAGCCGGCCUGAGAGGGCGACCGGCCACAUUGGGACUGAGAUACGGCCCAG